rnacentral:snRNA from 14 species
AUCGCUUCUCGGCCUUUUGGCUAAGAUCAAGUGUAGUAUCUGUUCUUAUCAGCUUAACAUCUGAUAGUUCCUCCAUUGGAGGACAACAAAUGUUAAACUGAUUUUUGGGAUCAGACGGAGUGCUAGGGGCUUGCUCCACCUCUGUCGCGGGUUGCCCCGGUAUUGCAGUACCGCCGGGAUUUCGGCCCAACUGAA